rnacentral:rRNA from 1 species
ACUCAAAGGAAUUGACGGGGGCCCGCACAAGCGGUGGAGCAUGUGGUUUAAUUCGAUGCAACGCGAAGAACCUUACCUACUCUUGAAUCCACAAAAUUUUGCAGAGAUGCAAAAGUGCCUUCGGGAAUUGUGAGACAGGUGCUGCAUGGCUGUCGUCAGCUCGUGUCGUGAGAUGUUGGGUUAAGUCCCGUAACGAGCGCAACCCUUGUCCUUAGUUACUAACGAGUUAAGUCGAGGACUCUAAGGAGACUGCCAGUGACAAACUGGAGGAAGGUGGGGAUGAUGUCAAGUCAUCAUGGCCCUUACGAGUAGGGCUACACACGUGCUACAAUGGCCAGUACAAAGGGUCGCCAAGUCGCAAGACGGAGCAAAUCCAAAAAAGCUGGUCGUAGUCCGGAUUGGAGUCUGCAACUCGACUCCAUGAAGCUGGAAUCGCUAGUAAUCGUGGAUCAGAACGCCACGGUGAAUACGUUCUCGGGCCUUGUACACACCGCCCGU